rnacentral:rRNA from 1 species
UACGAAGGGGGCUAGCGUUGCUCGGAAUCACAGGGCGUAAAGCGCACGUAGGCGGAUUGUUAAGUCAGGGGUGAAAUCCUGGAGCUCAACUCCAGAACUGCCUUUGAUACUGGCGAUCUUGAGUCCGGGAGAGGUGAGUGGAACUGCGAGUGUAGAGGUGAAAUUCGUAGAUAUUCGCAAGAACACCAGUGGCGAAGGCGGCUCACUGGCCCGGUACUGACGCUGAGGUGCGAAAGCGUGGGUAGCAAACAGGGA